rnacentral:rRNA from 1 species
AUUGAACGCUGGCGGCAUGCCUUACACAUGCAAGUCGAACGGCAGCGCGGGGCAACCUGGCGGCGAGUGGCGAACGGGUGAGUAAAAUAUCGGAACAUACCCUAGAGUGGGGGAUAACGUAGCGAAAGUUACGCUAAUACCGCAUACGCACUAAGGUGGAAAGUGGGGGAUCUUCGGACCUCAUGCUCAUGGAGUGGCCGAUAUCUGAUUAGCUAGUUGGUGAGGUAAAGGCUCACCAAGGCGACGAUCAGUAGCUGGUUUGAGAGAACGACCAGCCACACUGGAACUGAGACACGGUCCAGACUCCUACGGGAGGCAGCAGUGGGGAAUUUUGGACAAUGGGGGGCAACCCUGAUCCAGCAAUGCCGCGUGAGUGAAGAAGGCCUCGGGUUGUAAGCUCUUUGUUCAGGGAAGAAACGGUGAGUUCUAAUAAAGACUUGCUAAUGACGGUACCGUGAAGAAUAAGCACCGGCUAACUACGUGCCAGCAGCCGCGGUAA